GACGAACGCUGGCGGCGUGCUUAACACAUGCAAGUCGAGCGGUAAGGCCCUUUCGGGGGUACACGAGCGGCGAACGGGUGAGUAACACGUGGGUGACCUGCCCUCAGCUCUGGGAUAAGCCUGGGAAACCGGGUCUAAUACUGGAUAUGACUCCAUGACGCAUGUUGUGGGGUGGAAAGCCUUGUGCGGCUGAGGAUGGGCCCGCGGCCUAUCAGCUUGUUGGUGGGGUGANGGCCUACCAAGGCGACGACGGGUAGCCGGCCUGAGAGGGCGACCGGCCACACGUGGGACUGAGAC
rnacentral:rRNA from 1 species